rnacentral:rRNA from 1 species
GACGAACGCUGGCGGCGUGCUUAACACAUGCAAGUCGAACGCAAUCUUUGACUAAUGAGUGCUUGCACUCAGCGGUCAAAGUGCGAGUGGCGAACGGGUGAGUAACACGUGGGCAAUCUGCCCAAAAGUGGGGGAUAACACUUGGAAACAGGUGCUAAUACCGCAUCAACCGGCUGACCGCAUGGUCGGCCGGGCAAAGACGGCGUCAGCUGUCGCUUUUGGAUGAGCCCGCGGCGUAUUAACUAGUUGGUAAGGUAACGGCUUACCAAGGUGAUGAUACGUAGCCGAACUGAGAGGUUGAUCGGCCACAUUGGGACUGAGACACGGCCCAAACUCCUACGGGAGGCAGCAGUAGGGAAUCUUCCACAAUGGACGCAAGUCUGAUGGAGCAACGCCGCGUGUAUGAAGAAGGUCUUCGGAUCGUAAAAUACUGUUGUCAGAGAAGAACACGUGAUAAAGUAACUGUUAUCGCGCUGACGGUAUCUGACCAGCAAGUCACGGCUAACUAC